rnacentral:ncRNA from 1 species
UGGAUAGAGGCGCGGCGCCCAUCAGUACCCUUCGCCUGCAGGCAAAGACGUCCGGGAAAGGGAGCGCCGCCGAAGUGAAAUCACCGUUGCCUGGUCGGUGCUUUCGCUGGGCCGGCGGGGAAUACCCGUCGGACUGUCACGAUUCGUGGAGCGCUAUCUGA